rnacentral:rRNA from 1 species
AUACGGAGGAUCCGAGCGUUAUCCGGAUUUAUUGGGUUUAAAGGGUGCGCAGGCGGGAGAUUAAGUCGGCGGUGAAAUUUUGCAGCUCCACUGGAAAAGUGCCCUCGAAACUGGUUUUCUUGAGUGGAGAUGAAGUAGGCGGAAUUUGUUGUGUAGCGGGUAAAUGCAUAGAUAUCACGAGGAACUCCGAUUGCGCAGGCAGCUUACUAAACUACUACUGACGCUCAGGCACGAAGGCGUGGGGAUCAAACAGGAUUAGAUACCCUGGUAGUCCACGCAGUAAACGAUGAUUACUAGCUGUUUGUGAUACAAUGUAAGCGGCUGAGCGAAAGCGUUAAGUAAUCCACCUGGGGAGUACGUUCGCAAGAAUGAAACUCAAAGGAAUUGACGGGG